UAACCCGAACCAACCUGAAAAAAUCACGUUCAGGUUGGGAUGUUCAACCCAAAUAACUUACACGGAUCAGGCCGGAUUGGGUAUUAAAUGACCUGAAACUAGUCAAUCCGAACACAAACCCGACACGACCUGAUCCAUUUGCCACCCAUAUACUCAAACCAAAAUGAGCCCACUUAUAUAAACCCUAGCCCACCUAUACUACCCAUACUCAAAACCAUCCCCCGCACUUCACUGCGCCUCUUCCUUGUCCUCUUCCUUCUCUUCUUCCAUUCUCCCCUUCUCUCUCCUCAAACCGUAGUUUAGAACCCGAUCCCGCUGGCCUGUACUCCGCCGAAAUCAAACCCGAGCUUCCUCACAAUCAAGUUGUUCGACAGAGUAAGAAUGAUCGCAAGCUAGAGAGGAGAACCGAAGAUGGGAGAUGUGAUCGGCGGUAGCACUAGCAGCAGAGACGUUACAAAACUUGCAGAUAUGAUGGACGCUCUGUUGAAGCUGAGCCCCAUUGAGGGUUUUUUUUGUAUGUGAAUUUCUACCUAGCUAAUCAGAGCGAAUGUUAAUCGGCGAAAGUUUCCGUAUUGAUUGAAUAGCAAGCCCUUCAACUAAUUUGGAUAUAUAUGAACCUCACUUUCUACCAUUCGAAUAUUAAUUUGAUAUAUAUGAUGGCUUUAAUUAAAGGGGUUCCCUUGAUGGCUUACACUUAGGCGUUAUGGACCAUAUUAAUCUCUAAUUCAUUUGCCCAUCCAUUACUUGUCAGUUUGAAGAAAUUAGGUAAAAUGUUUAAAACGAUGAUUAUGCUAUGUGGUUCAUGCACCUGAUAUUUAAUGGCGUAUUGUAUAUUCAUCUUGUUGUAACCAUUUUGGUUCCUAUGGUUCAGAUUUCCAUAAGACCCGUCAAUGAAGGCACACCGUUCCAAUUUAUAGCGUCUGCUGACCUGCUUGCAAUAAUGUGUAGCAGAGAACCAGUUGUCAAGGCUUAUUUAUUGGAGAAAGUUGUUGCAUCAAACAGGCCCGUCCCUGAGGAAGGGCAGGAGGGGCGGCUGUUGGGCUGAGUCUUUAUACGAUCAUCCAAUUAAGGGGCAUGGCAGAUCUUUUAAGGGUUUAGAGUAAACCUAUUUUUAAAAGUACAGAGUAUUAGUUUAUCUUUACACUUCCAUUUCUCAAAUACUAUAUUCACACACUAAAGCUUGUAUAAUUUAUUUGUAAGUUUUUUUUUUAAUUUUGAAAACGGCUGAAAUUAGAUUAAUUAAACCGAGUUUAAAACAAACGAAAGGAAAGUAUGGUAACAUAAGUCAAUUACAAGUUAUCAUGUCUUAAAUGUGGUUAGGAUGAGUUUUCCUCAAAAAAAAUGUGGGUAGGAUGACUCUUUUGUCGUGGCCAUUAUUGCAAAUUAAUUGUGUCAUGUGAAGUGUGAACUAUGCAAUUGUAUAGGUAGUGUUACCUUUGCGGUUUUAACAUCAGUUGACGGUCACCUACAUUUUAUUAUAAAUACAUUUGCAGACUAGCAACUGUAGAAUUGUAUGAGUGAGUUAAUUGUAUGAGUUGGUUAGUGAUAUGUGGAAAACAGAAAAUUAUUAGUGAAUAACUUUGGAAGUGACAAUUUUAAUAAAAAAAAAUUUUAAAAUAAACCUAUCUAGAUCAACCGAAGAAAUUUCCAAAAUGCAAGGAGGGAUUACAUCACUCCACACCCAUUGGCCAAACUCCCAUGGUUGAAAGUAAGUCAAUUUGUAUGCUACAUUAUUACCCCCUCGCUUUACAAAAGACCAUGAAUCACUAGUAAAAUUAGAAGAAAAAAAAUCUAGAAUCCUUUAUAAUCAGAUGAAAGGAACUGGAGCCAUACAAACGCUUCCUCAUUGCCUCAAUCACCACCAGAUUAUCACUCUCGAUCCCAAUGCACCUCAUACCCUUGUGUCUCGCAAUCUUCAUGCCCCAAAAUACCGCUUUCACCUCUGCAAUCUUAGUAUCUCAUUUUUCACUCCACUACAUCGUAGCUCCCCAAAGCACCACCCCCUCACUAUUCCUGCAGACUGCACCCAACCCCGUCCCCACCUCCCCCAAAACACCAGCAUCAACAAUUAUUUUAACCACACCAGAUACCGGAAGAGACAUGUCCACAAAGACACUCUUUCCACCCCUCCAUUCCCCAUAUUCAACUUUCCCACCUUUAAUCUUCAAAGCAUAGACAGCAAUUUGCUCAACAUUCGGAUUUUCACCCUCAAUCAUUCAUUUGUUCCUUGCGCCACACAUAGCCCAACA